UGGGGAAUUUUGUGCAAUGGGCGAAAGCCUGACACAGCAACGCCGCGUGAAGGAUGAAGUCCCUCGGGAUGUAAACUUCGAAAGAAUAGGAAGAAUAAAUGACGGUACUAUUUAUAAGGUCCGGCUAACUACGUGCCAGCAGCCGCGGUAAUACGUAGGGACCAAGCGUUGUUCGGAUUUACUGGGCGUAAAGGGCGCGUAGGCGGCAAUUCAAGUCAUCUGUGAAAUCUCCGGGCUUAACUCGGAACGGUCAGAUGAUACUGCUUUGCUAGAGUGCAGAAGGGGCAAUCGGAAUUCUUGGUGUAGCGGUGAAAUGCGUAGAUAUCAAGAGGAACACCUGAGGUGAAGACGGGUUGCUGGGCUGACACUGACGCUGAGGCGCGAAAGCCAGGGGAGCAAACGGGAUUAGAUACCCUCGUAGUCCCUGAGCGGGCUGGCAAGGCGCAU
rnacentral:rRNA from 1 species